UGGGGAAUUUUGGACAAUGGACGCAAGUCUGAUCCAGCCAUGCCGCGUGCGGGAAGAAGGCCUUCGGGUUGUAAACCGCUUUUGUCAGGGAAGAAACGAGUUUCUCUAAUACAGAGACUUAAUGACGGUACCGUAAGAAUAAGCACCGGCUAACUACGUGCCAGCAGCCGCGGUAAUACGUAGGGUGCAAGCGUUAAUCGGAAUUACUGGGCGUAAAGCGUGCGCAGGCGGUUAUGCAAGACAGAUGUGAAAUCCCCGGGCUCAACCUGGGACCUGCAUUUGUGACUGUAUAGCUAGAGUACGGUAGAGGGGGAUGGAAUUCCGCGUGUAGCAGUGAAAUGCGUAGAUAUGCGGAGGAACACCGAUGGCGAAGGCAAUCCCCUGGACCUGUACUGACGCUCAUGCACGAAAGCGUGGGGAGCAAACA
rnacentral:rRNA from 1 species